rnacentral:rRNA from 1 species
CGACAGCAAUAUGAAGGUCAGGCUGAAGACUUACCCGAUUAGCUGCGAGUGGUGCAUGGCCGUCGUCAGUUCGUACUGUGAAGCAUCCUGUUAAGUCAGGCAACGAGCGAGACCCACGUCCACAGUUGCCAGCAUACCCUCCGGGGUGAUGGGUACACUGUGGAGACCGCCGCUGCUAAAGCGGAGGAAGGAGUGGGCAACGGUAGGUCAGUAUGCCCCGAAUCUCCCGGGCUACACGCGGGCUACAAUGGUUGGUACAAUGGGCAUCUACCCCGAAAGGGGAAGGAAAUCUCUUAAAGCCAAUCGUAGUUCGGAUUGAGGGCUGCAACUCGCCCUCAUGAAGCUGGAAUCCGUAGUAAUCGCGUUUCAACAGAACGCGGUGAAUACGUCCCUGCUCCUU